CAAUAGCGUAUAUUAAAGCUGUUGCGGUUAAAAAGCUCGUAGUUGGAUUUCUGUCAAGGACAACUGGUCCGCCCUCCGGGUGAGCACAUAGUUUGGUCUUGGCAUCUUGCUGGAAGCUGUUGCUGCACUUGGCUGUGUGGCGCAGCGUCCAGCACUUUCACUUUGAGGAAAUUGGAGGGUUUCAAGCAGGCACAUGCCUUUGGACACAGUAGCAUGGAAUAAUUAGAUUGGGCUUUUGCUCCAAUUUGUCGGUUUCUGGAGCUGAGGUGAGAAUUAAUGGGGAUUGUUGGGGGCAUCCGAAUUUAGCCGUCAGAGGUGAAAUUCUUGGAUCUGCUAAAGACGGACAACUGCGAAAGCGUUUGCCCAGGAUGUUUUCAUUGA
rnacentral:rRNA from 1 species